UUCAUUAUGGCCAGCCAAAGCAAGAACAAAGGAAGAAAAAGGAAGAACAAACCCUAGGUGGAAAAGUUCAAGGGAAAAGUGUGAAAAUUCAAGAAAACAAGUGAAAAAAAGGUAAGAUUUUUCAAUUAAGCUUGUGAUAUAUCUGUCUUAAGCAUUUUUUCUUAUUUUUCAUGGUUGAAUCACAAGAUAUCAUGAAGGAUAGUGUGCUGAUCAAACCCUAGGAGAGAGAAUUUGAUGAUGAUUUAGAUAGAUUUUUAAGAUAUAUGGAUGUUUUUAGUUGUUUAUGGUGUUAAGUGUAAGAAUUAAGCUUCAAAUUCACAUAUUCCUCAUGAGUUCAUCAUUGGCUGAAUCUUCCUUGUAGAGUGUUGAUGGUGGAUUUGAUUUUAUUUCAGGUGAAUUGGUUAGGAAAUGAUGAAUUAUGGUGAGAAAAUCAAGUAGGAAAAAUCAUAGUGUUGAUGCACUCACCAUGGUCGAAAUUCUCAAAAAGAAAUGUGAGGAUGAUUUUGAUAAAUUUUAUGCUAUUUGACUUGUGUUUGAUGGUUUGGAGAAUUGGAAGAAAAAUGGAAUUAUUUGGAGUUAAAUUGGACAUAUUGGCCAAUUAAUCGAGCGAUAGAUCGAAUUAGGCUAAUACCAUUUUAUUUAGGUACAUAAUUGAAUUUAUAUUGAACACCGUAUUGAGAUAGUUACCCAAGUAUUUCACAUCCCAUUUCAUGCAUUAGUAUAAAGCCUGAAUUGGUUUUACAACGGUUUAGCACAAAUGUAGUAAAUGGCUUAUUGUGCAUUAUGUCUAGGUGGUGAGCUUUCUGGCAAAAGUAAAGAGAUAGUACUCGAGGAUUAAGAAUCAGAGUACUCAGAAUUCGACUUCCGAAAUAGUGAGUAACCUUACUAUCGUCUUAAUUAUCUAAAGUGGUUUUUAUCCGAUUUUGUGGUUUUUAUCCGAUUUUGUGAUUUUAUGGAAAAUGAGUUUAAAUGGUAAAUCUUUAUGUUUUAUAAGCAAAAAUGUGAUUAAAUGAAAUGAUUUUGUAAAAUUGUUUUGAAAUUGAAUGAUGGUUUUGAAAAUGGAGCAAUUGGAGACUAAUUGCUGUGUUAUAAAUCAUGGUUUGAAUUGAAUGGCUUAUGAUAAUAUUAGCAUGAAUAGUUGAAUUGGUAUUUGUGUUGAAAAUGUAUGAACUGUUAAUUUGCCUUGAGAGGCUGUAAAAUAAAAUAAUUGCCAUGUCAUGCUGUUGAAUUUUAUUGAAUUGAUGGGUUAUAUAUUAGUCGCUGCAGUGGAUGGGUUCCGUGGAUCAGCCUAUUAGAGGGGCACGGUAACCCUAUUAUAUUCAUACCUCAGUAUGAGAGGCGCGGUUGGAUAACUCCUGAGGUUAAAACUUUAGAGUUCACUUCACACUAAACCACCACGUGAGGGUGAACUCAGCCAACGCCAAGGAACGACUAUGUUUUCAAAAUAAAAACAUGAUUUAUACGUACAUAACUUUUUAACAGCCUUGGCGAACUCGGUUGGGAUAGCCCUCAGCCAAGGUAUCCCUAAUAACUGAGUAUGAGAAUGAUUUUGGCACGAGCCAAAGUUUUAAGAAAUUCAUAAGCCAUGUUGAUUUCUCAAUUUAUAUGAAUUGAUUUUAUUUGGUUGAAAUGAGUUGAAAGGUGAUGAAUUACAACAUGUUAAACUAUUUUAUCUGUCUUCAUUUACUCAACUUUAGAUAUUUUAGAUGGUAUUUGUUUACUCACUGGGAUUAUAUAAUCUCACCACCUUCCUUUCCACCCAUUUCAGGCUCAAGAUUGUCGGUAGAUAGCUCAUUUCGUUGAGGGCUACAGUUGGACUUGCAUCCUAAAAAACUGUAGGUUUACCGCUUUUGAUACUUUUGGUCGUUCAUGGGCCCAUGUGUCACUGUAAAUAAAAUUUUAUACUUUGGUUAUCUGUAUUACAGUAUUUAUGAAUUUAUUUAGCUUUUACGCUACAAAAAUUAUUUACCGGUAACUCUAUAAAUAUUAUUUUACAAGAAAA
rnacentral:lncRNA from 1 species